CGUCAAGUCCUCAUGGCCCUUACGGGCUGGGCUACACACGUGCUACAAUGGCGGUGACAGAGGGGUGCGAAGGGGCGACCCGGAGCCGAUCCCGAAAAGCCGUCUCAGUUCGGAUUGCACUCUGCAACUCGACCCCGUGAAGUCGGAGUCGCUAGUAAUCGCAGAUCAGCAACGCUGCGGUGAAUACGUUCCCGGGCCUU
rnacentral:rRNA from 1 species